rnacentral:rRNA from 1 species
GAUGAACGCUGGCGGCGUGCUUAACACAUGCAAGUCGAACGGGAUCCAUCAGGCUUUGCUUGGUGGUGAGAGUGGCGAACGGGUGAGUAAUGCGUGACCGACCUGCCCCAUACACCGGAAUAGCUCCUGGAAACGGGUGGUAAUGCCGGAUGCUCCGACUCCUCGCAUGGGGUGUCGGGAAAGAUUUCAUCGGUAUGGGAUGGGGUCGCGUCCUAUCAGGUAGUCGGCGGGGUAACGGCCCACCGAGCCUACGACGGGUAGCCGGCCUGAGAGGGCGACCGGCCACAUUGGGACUGAGAUACGGCCCAGACUCCUACGGGAGGCAGCGGUGGGGAAUAUUGCACAAUGGGCGCAAGCCUGAUGCAGCGACGCCGCGUGCGGGAUGACGGCCUUCGGGUUGUAAACCGCUUUUGAUCGGGAGCAAGCCUUCGGGUGAG